rnacentral:rRNA from 1 species
GGAUAACGCUGACAGAAUGCUUAACACAUGCAAGUCAACAUGAAUUGGGUUUUUAAAUUAGGUUUGGGUGGCGGACGGGGUGAGUAACGAGUAAAAGAACUUGCCUCACAGCUAGGGACAACAUUUGGAAACGAAUGCUAAUACCUAAUAUUAUGAUAAUAGGGCAUCCUAUAAUUAUGAAAGCUAUAAGCGCUGUGAGAGAGCUAUGCGUCCCAUUAGCUAGUAGGAGAGAUAACGGCUCACCAAGGCGAUGAUGGGUAGCCGGCCUGAGAGGGUGAUCGGCCACAAGGGGACUGAGACACGGCCCUUACUCCUACGGGAGGCAGCAGUGGGGAAUAUUGGACAAUGGACCAAGAGUCUGAUCCAGCAAUUCUGUGUGCACGAUGAAGUUUUUCGGAAUGUAAAGUGCUUUCAGUUGGGAAGAAAGAAAUGACGGUACCAACAGAAGAAGUGACGGCUAAAUACGUGCCAGCAGCCGCGGUAAUACGUAUGUCACGAGCGUUAUCCGGAUUUAUUGGGCGUAAAGCGCGUCUAGGUGGUUAUGUAAGUCUGAUGUGAAAAUGCAGGGCUCAACUCUGUAUUGCGUUGGAAACUGUAUAACUAGAGUACUGGAGAGGUAAGCGGAACUACAAGUGUAGAGGUGAAAUUCGUAGAUAUUUGUAGGAAUGCCAAUGGGGAAGCCAGCUUACUGGACAGAUACUGACGCUGAAGCGCGAAAGCGUGGGUAGCAAACAGG